GCGUUUCCAUGUCAAUUAGCCACCAGUCCGUCCGUCCAUUCCCAUUCCCAGCUCGCAAGGGUCUGACGUCAGUGAGCAUAAAAUCGCCUGAUGAGCAAACUGCUGCUCAACCGAUAAGCGAGACUCGCUUGCUAUCUCCUCGGCGGCAAUGUCGCCAACUCAGCCGAGUUUAAAGUUCCGGCUUGGAGCCCCAAUAGAGAUGUCUAAGUAAGCUAAACCACCUGAUUCCAGCUGAAUCAUCGUCCAAAAGCUGACACUGCUGCUUUAUCGAGUCCCACUGACCUAGACAAGUUCAGCUAAAAUCAGCAGCAGCUACGAGACUGGGACUGGCAACAGUUUGUUUUGCCUGAAAAAUUAUUAAAACAAAUACAAACGAAAAAAGUGCAAACAAAUGUAGAAUAAUAAACCGGUCGGUUCUUUUGGCUUUAGCAA